GAUGAACGCUGGCGGUAUGCUUAACACAUGCAAGUCGAACGAAAGUUUUUAACUUUAGUGGCGAACGGGUGCGUAAUACGUGAGAAUCUGCCCUUAGGAGAAGAAUAACUGCUGGAAACGGCUGCUAAAUCUUCAUAUGCCGAGAGGUGAAAUAGUUUAGGCUGCCUAAGGAUGAGCUCACGCCUGAUUAGCUAGUUGGUAAGGUAAUGGCUUACCAAGGCCACGAUCAGUAGCUGGUUUGAGAGAACGAUCAGCCACACUGGGACUGAGACACGGCCCAGACUCCUCCGGGAGGCAGCAGUGAGGAAUUUUCCGCAAUGGGCGAAAGCCUGACGGAGCAAUACCGCGUGAGGGAUGAAGGAUUUUGGUCUGUAAACCUCUUUUCUCAAGAAAGAAGUUCUGACGGUACUUGAGGAAUAAGCAUCGGCUAACUCCGUGCCAGCAGCCGCGGUAAUACGGGGGAUGCAAGCGUUAUCCGGAAUCAUUGGGCGUAAAGCGCCUGUAGGUUGUUUACUAAGUCUGUUGUUAAAGACUAGGGCUUAACCCUAGGAAAGCAAUGGAAACUUGUAGACUAGAGUAUGGCAGGGGUAGAGGGAAUUUCUAGUGUAGCGGUGAAAUGCGUAGAUAUUAGAAAGAACACCAGUGGCGAAAGCGCUCUACUGGACCAUUACUGACACUCAGAGGCGAAAGCUAGGGUAGCAAAAGGGAUUAGAUACCCCUGUAGUCCUAGCCGUAAACGAUGGAUACUAGAUGUUGUGCUUUGUACAGUAUCGUAGCUAACGCGUUAAGUAUCCCGCCUGGGGAGUACGCUCGCAAGGGUGAAACUCAAAGGAAUUGACGGGGGCCCGCACAAGCGGUGGAGCAUGUGGUUUAAUUCGAUGCAACGCGAAGAACCUUACCAGGGCUUGACAUACUACAAAUUCUUUUGAGAAAGAGAAGUGCCUUCGGGAAUGUAGAUACAGGUGGUGCAUGGCUGUCGUCAGCUCGUGUCGUGAGAUGUUGGGUUAAGUCCCGCAACGAGCGCAACCCUUAUUUUUAGUUACCAAUUCGUUGGGUUUUUUAGAAAGACUGCCGGUGACAAACCGGAGGAAGGUGAGGAUGACGUCAAGUCAGCAUGCCCCUUAUGUCCUGGGCUACACACGUGCUACAAUGGUUAAGACAAAGAGUUGCGAACUCGUGAGAGUAAGCUAAUCUAUUAAACUUAGCCUAAGUUCAGAUUGUAGGCUGCAACUCGCCUGCAUGAAGUUGGAAUCGCUAGUAAUCGCUGGUCAGCCAUACAGCGGUGAAUCCGUUCCCGGGCCU
rnacentral:rRNA from 1 species